rnacentral:rRNA from 1 species
AGUGAACGCUGGCGGUAGGCCUAACACAUGCAAGUCGAACGGCCGCACAGUAAGAGCUUGCUCUUACGGGUGGCGAGUGGCGGACGGGUGAGGAAUACAUCGGCAUCUACUUUUUCGUGGGGGAUAACGGAGGGAAACUUACGCUAAUACCGCAUAUGAUCUACGGGUGAAAGCAGGGGAGCUUGGGAGCUUUCGUGAUUGAAUGAGCCGAUGCCGGAUUAGCUAGUUGGCGGGGUAAAGGCCCACCAAGGCGACGAUACGUAGCUGGUCUGAGAGGAUGAUCAGCCACACUGGAACUGAGACACGGUCCAGACUCCUACGGGAGGCAGCAGUGGGGAAUAUUGGACAAUGGGCGCAAGCCUGAUCGAGCCAUGCCGCGUGGGUGAAGAAGGCCUUCGGGUUGUAAAGCCCUUUUGUUGGGAAAGAACAGCAGCAGGUUAAUACCCCGCUGUUCUGACGGUACCCAAAGAAUAAGCCCCGGCUAACUUCGUG